GCAGGCCGAGCCACCUGUAGCCAUGUGAUCGUGUUCUCCAAGAACAAGCCAUGCACAUGUAAAUUCACAUGAACUGUACAGUGAAACUGCAAGUCGCUCAUCAAAUCAGUAAUUGUUCCUUUGAUUGAUCCAUUUCUCACUUGGAUAACUGAGGUAAUUCUAGAGCUAAUACAUUCUGAGGAGUGCUGACCUCCAUGGAGGUGUACAUUCAUCAAGCCAGGACCAAUCCAGGCUUGCUGACUCUAGAUGACCUUGAGCUGAUUGCACGGCCUUGUGAUUGUGAUGAUACAUUCAGAUGUCUGCCCUAUCAACGUUUGAUGUCACUUUCUGUGCCUACAAUGGUGACCAUGAGUUAUAGGGAAUGGGGUUUUGAUUCUGGAGAGGAAGCCUGAGAAACAGCUACCACAUCCAUGGAAGGCAGCAGGUGCAGAAAUCACUCACUCCCGACACAGGGAGGUAGUGAUGAAGAAUUACAAUGCAGGCCUUUUCGAGGUUCAGUAAUUGGAAUUAAUGCAUUUUAAAUCCAUUAAUGAGGAUCCAUUGGAAGGCAAGUCUGGUGCCAGCAGCUGCAGUAAUUCCAGCUCCAAUAGCAUUUGUUAAUGUUGCUACAGUGAAAAUGCUCAUAGAUAGAUCUUGGGAUCAAGCUCGACGUCUGCCAUGAGGCAAGCAAACGCUUGUUCCGGCCCCUUUCUCUCGGCGUCCCCUUGAUGCUCAUGAGACAGUGUCCUAGGGGUCCUUUGUGAAAUUUAGAGUGUUCAAAUAAGGCCAGUCACCUGAAUACAUCAGCUAGGUAUAAUGGAAUAGGACUCUGGUUCUAUUUUGUUUGUUUUUGGAACUGGGGCCAUGAUUGUGAGGGACGGUCGGGGGCAUUCAUAUUGUGCCCCUAGAGGUGAAAUGCUUCAACCAGCACAAGAUGAAACAAAACAAAAGCAUUUUCCAAAAAUGUUCUCAUUAAUCAAGAAUGAAAGUCAGAGGUUUGAAGACGAUCAGACACCAUUGCAGUUCCGACCAUAAAUGAUGCCGACCAACGAUGCAGCAGCAUUUUCCCAUGGCCCGCCAAGCAGUUCCCGGGAAACAAAAGUGUUUUGUUUCCGGAGGGAGUAUGGUUGCAAGGCUGAAACUUAAUGGAAUUGAUGGAAGGGCACCACCAGGAUUGGAGCCUGUGCCUUAAUUUGACUUAAAAUCGGAAAUCUCACCUGACUCAAACACAGAAAGGAUUUACAGAUCGAUAGCUCUUUCUAAAUUCUGUGGGUGGUUGUGCAUGGCUGUUCUUAGUUGGUAGAGAGAUUUGUCUAUUUAAUUCCGAUAAGAAACAAGACUCCUCCAUGCUAAUUGGUUACCUGACCCCCAGCGGUCUGCGGUCAGCGUUCAACUUAUUAAAGGGACAAGUGGCAUUCAGCCACAUAAGAUCAAGCAAUAACAUGUCUGUAAUGCACUUAAAUGAGGGGGGCUGCACAAGCACUACACUGAAUGGAUCAGCGUAUGUCAACCUUUGAGUAACCCUCUGAACACCAUUCAUUAUAGAGAUUGGGGAUUGCAAUUAUUUACCAUGAACAAGGAAUUCCCAGUAAGUGCGGGUCAUAAAAACAUGCACAGUCGUUACUACCCAUUGCAUGGUUGCGAGAGGUCCUCAUAUUGGUCCAGCUAGGGUCAGCAACAGCCAUAUCACAGCACCAAGAAGACGAUCAAACUUGAAUAUUGUGAGAAAGUAAAAGUUGUAACAAGGUUUCAAUAGGUGAACCUGUGGAAG
rnacentral:rRNA from 1 species